rnacentral:tRNA from 1 species
CCGGCCGGACCGGCCGCGGCGGCCGGUCCGCUCCCGGCGGGCCCGACGACACCGGCGUCCGGCGCGCUCCCGACCGGCCC